rnacentral:rRNA from 1 species
GUCCACGCCGUAAACGAUGAUCACUCGUGAUUGGCGAUAUACGGUCAGUCACCUAGCGAAAGCGUUAAGUGAUCCACCUGGGGAGUACGAUCGCAAGAUUGAAACUCAAAGGAAUUGACGGGGGCCCGCACAAGCGGUGGAGCAUGUGGUUUAAUUCGAUGAUACGCGAGGAACCUUACCAGGGCUCGAACGUACGUAGACAGUCGCGGAAACGUGAUCUUCUUCGGACUGCGUGCGAGGUGCUGCAUGGCUGUCGU